rnacentral:rRNA from 1 species
UAUGUGAUCGUCUCUCUGCAUAUCAAUAAGCGGAGGAAAAGAAACUAACAAGGAUUCCCCUAGUAACGGCGAGUGAAGCGGGAAGAGCUCAAAUUUGAAAUCUUAAAGGGUUUCCCUUUACGAAUUGUAGUUUAAAGAAGUGUUUUCUGUUGAGGUUUUGGUAAAAGUUCUUUGGAAUAGGACAUCAUAGAGGGUGAGAAUCCCGUAUUUGACCUUUACUUUCAACUUUGUGAUACACUUUCAAAGAGUCGGAUUGUUUGGGAAUGCAGUCCAAAAUGGGUGGUAAAUUUCAUCUAAAGCUAAAUAUUGGCGAGAGACCGAUAGCGAACAAGUACCGUGAGGGAAAGAUGAAAAGAACUUUGAAAAGAGAGUUAAACAGUACGUGAAAUUGUCAAAAGGGAAGCGUUUGACACCAGUGUUGUUUUUCUGAAAAUCAAUUAAAGAACUGUUUAUGCUAAGCUGUUUAGACUUUAUCAGCCAUCUGUUUAGUUUUGAGCUUUUCUUUAAUGCACUUUUCAGUUAACAAGUCAACAUCAAUUUCUUUUGCUGUAAAAAAGCUUGAGGAAGGUGGCUUGAGAUUCGUCUUAAGUGUUUAUAGCCUCUUGCCUAUGUAGUCGGAGAGAUUGAGGUCUGCAGCGUAGAUCCUUCGGGGCUAAAUGCAUUUGUGCUAAGUUAUAGCAUUUUAUAGACAACUUGUUGACUAUGAUUUGUCUUGUAGCUUACUCGCUUAUGUUAUUUUACCUACGCUUAGGAUGUUGAGCGCAUGUCUCUCUCU